rnacentral:lncRNA from 1 species
CCUCCCUCCUGUAUGUUUCUCAAGUAGCCCAGAACAAUGAAUCAUAAUAGGGUUUUUUAUUUUAAGCUAAUUGUGAUUUUUUUCUUUUUAGGAUUUUUUUUUUUUUACUCCAGAUAUAGUCUAGGUAACAACAACAAUGAAAAAGGUGUCAUGGGGAGAAGAGCAGUGGGCGAAUCAAACUUGGAGUCUUGCACUUGCGCAGGAGGCGGCGAAACCACUGAGCUAAAUCCCCGGCCUGAUACAGAAUCAUAAAAUGAAUGAAGCACCUGAUGGUCAAGGAAGAGAAAAGAAGAUGAAAGGAUGAAUGCGUAUUUGUUUCAUAAUCACUAACAGGUGUUAAUAAAACGUAUUGUACAAUGCUCAAUUGUCAUGACAUUGAAAGGGAUCAGGUUCACCUGUUCAUUGUGAUAUAUUAUGUAGUUUCACUUCUUAAAAUGCAAC